rnacentral:rRNA from 1 species
UACGGGGGGAGCAAGCGUUGUUCGGAUUUACUGGGCGUAAAGGGCGCGUAGGCGGUUUGUACAGUCAGGUGUGAAAUUCCCGGGCUCAACCUGGGGGCUGCACUUGAUACGUAGGAACUUGAGUGGGGAAGAGGGUCGUGGAAUUCCCAGUGUAGAGGUGAAAUUCGUAGAUAUUGGGAAGAACACCGAUGGCGAAGGCGGCGACCUGGUCCUUGACUGACGCUGAGGCGCGAAAGCGUGGGGAGCAAACAGG